UACGGGGGGAGCAAGCGUUGUUCGGAUUUACUGGGCGUAAAGGGCGCGUAGGCGGUCGUGACAAGUCACUUGUGAAAUCUCCGGGCUUAACUCGGAAACGGUCAAGUGAUACUGUCGGACUAGAGUACAGAAGGGGCAACUGGAAUUCUCGGUGUAGCGGUGAAAUGCGUAGAUAUCGAGAGGAACACCUGCGGCGAAGGCGGGUUGCUGGGCUGAUACUGACGCUGAGGCGCGAAAGCGUGGGGAGCAAACAGG
rnacentral:rRNA from 1 species